rnacentral:rRNA from 1 species
CCUACGGGUGGCAGCAGUGGGGAAUAUUGCACAAUGGGGGAAACACUGAUGCAGCGACGCCGCGUGAGUGAAGAAGGAUUUCGGUAUGUAAAGCUCUAUCAGCAGGGAAGAAAAUGACGGCACCUGAUUAAGAAGCCCCGGCUAACUACGUGCCAGCAGCCGCGGUAAUACGUAGGGGGCAAGCGUUAUCCGGAUUUACUGGGUGUAAAGGGAGCGUAGACGGUGUUGCAAGUCAGAAGUGAAAGCCCGGGGCCUAACUCCGGGACUGCUUUUGAAACUGGGUGACUGGAGUGCAGGAGAGGUAGGCGGAAUUCCUGGUGUAGCGGUGAAAUGCUUAGAUAUCAGGAAGAACACCGGUGGCGAAGGCAGCUUACUGGACUGUAACUGACGUUGAGGCUCGAAAGCGUGGGGAGCAAACAGGAUUAGAUACCCGGGUAGUC